GGCAGCAGUGGGGAAUAUUGCACCAAUGGGCGAAAGCUGAUGCAGCGACGCGCGUGAGGGAUGAUGCUUCGGGUGUAAACCUCUUUCAGGUAGGGAGAAGCCGCCUUUGGUGGUGACGGUACUUGCAGAAGAAGCGCCGGGCUAACUACGUGCCAGCAGCCGCGGUAAUACGUAGGGCGCAAGCGUUAUCCGGAAUUAUUGGGCGUAAAGAGCUCGUAGGCGGUUUGUCGCGUCUGCUGUGAAAGCCCGGGGCUCAACCCCGGGUCUGCAGUGGGUACGGGCAGACUGGAGUGCAGUAGGGGAGACUGGAAUUCCUGGUGUAGCGGUGAAAUGCGCAGAUAUCAGGAGGAACACCGAUGGCGAAGGCAGGUCUCUGGGCUGUUACUGACGCUGAGGAGCGAAAGCAUGGGGAGCGAACAGGAUUAGAUACCCUGGUAGUCCAUGCCGUAAACGUUGGGCACUAGGUGUGGGGGACAUUCCACGUUUUCCGCGCCGUAGCUAACGCAUUAAGUGCCCCGCCUGGGGAGUACGGCCGCAAGGCUAAAACUCAAAGGAAUUGACGGGGGCCCGCACAAGCGGCGGAGCAUGCGGAUUAAUUCGAUGCAACGCGAAGAACCUUACCAAGGCUUGACAUGUACCGGUAACGCCUGGAAACAGGUGCCCCCUUUUGGGCCGGUAUACAGGUGGUGCAUGGUUGUCGUCAGCUCGUGUCGUGAGAUGUUGGGUUAAGUCCCGCAACGAGCGCAACCCUCGUCCUAUGUUGCCAGCGGAUAAUGCCGGGGACUCAUAGGAGACUGCCGGGGUCAACUCGGAGGAAGGUGGGGAUGACGUCAAAUCAUCAUGCCCCUUAUGUCUUGGGCUUCACGCAUGCUACAAUGGCCGGUACAAAGGGCUGCGAUACCGCGAGGUGGAGCGAAUCCCAAAAGCCGGUCUCAGUUCGGAUUGGGGUCUGCAACUCGACCCCAUGAAGUUGGAGUCGCUAGUAAUCGCAGAUCAGCAACGCCGCGGUGAAUACGUUCCCGGG
rnacentral:rRNA from 1 species